CUACGGGGGGCAGCAGGCGCGAAACCUUUACAAUGCACGCAAGUGUGAUAAGGGGAUCCUAAGUGCUCAUGUUUUACAUGGGCUUUUGUUAAGAGUAAAUAUCUUGGCGGAUAAGUGGUGGGUAAGACUGGUGCCAGCCGCCGCGGUAACACCAGCGCCACGAGUGGCAACCGCGUUUAUUGGGCCUAAAGCGUCCGUAGCCGGUUUGGUAAAUCUUCAGUGAAAUCGUCAGGCCUAACUUGACGGCGGGCUGGAGACACUGCCAAACUCGAGACCGGGAGGAGUCAGAGGUAUUCCUGAGGGAGCGGUAAAAUGCGAUAAUCUCAGGAGGACCAUCUAUGGCGAAGGCAUCUGACCAGAACGGAUCUGACGGUGAGGGACGAAGGCCAGGGGAGCGAUCCGGAUUAGAUACCCCAGUAGUC
rnacentral:rRNA from 1 species